GCCUCAGUAGUAUAAUCCCAUUACCUUGGUCUUGUAAACCAAAAACGGAGCCUCAACGCUUCCUAAGGCA
rnacentral:tRNA from 1 species